UUUCAUUGUUUUUGUUUUUAGACUUUGGUUUAUAUGUGAUUGAAAAAUGUUAAUCUCUUAUUCUCAUUAACAUAUAUUGCCGUUUUCAUUUUUAAUUUAGAUUACAUAAAGCUUUUAUUUUUAUAUCUUUUAUUGUUUUUUAGUUUAGAUAAGGAGACAAAGUGAUUAGAAAUUGUGACGCACAAAAAGUCGUUUAUGAGGAAGAAGAGUCAUAUGAUGGAGCAUUGCAAAAGACAUUGAUAAUGAGGCGUUUGAAUUUAGUGUAUUAAGAAAUAGUGCACUAUUUCUUUAAUUUUUUUUUUCAAAUACAAGAAUGACAAAGAAACUGAAGAUUGUAUAUAUUAUAUUGGAAAUUUUAGUGCUGCGUGUCGUGAAUGCCCC
rnacentral:lncRNA from 1 species